rnacentral:rRNA from 1 species
AGAGUUUGAUCCUGGCUCAGGACGAACGCUGGCGGCGUGCUUAACACAUGCAAGUCGAACGGAAAGGCCCUUCGGGGUACUCGAGUGGCGAACGGGUGAGUAACACGUGGGUGAUCUGCCCUGCACUUUGGGAUAAGCCUGGGACACUGGGUCUAAUACCGAAUAUGACCAUGCGCCUCCUGGUGUGUGGUGGAAAGCUUUUGCGGUGUGGGAUGGGCCCGCGGCCUAUCAGCUUGUUGGUGGGGUAAUGGCCUACCAAGGCGACGACGGGUAGCCGGCCUGAGAGGGUGACCGGCCACGCUGGGACUGAGAUACGGCCCAGACUCCUACGGGAGGCAGCAGUGGGGAAUAUUGCACAAUGGGCGCAAGCCUGAUGCAGCGACGCCGCGUGAGGGAUGACGGCCUUCGGGUUGUAAACCUCUUUCAGCACAGACGAAGCGCAAGUGACGGUAUGUGCAGAAGAAGGACCGGCCAACUACGUGUCAGCAGCCGCGGUAAUACGUAGGGUCCGAGCGUUGUCCGGAAUUACUGGGCGUAAAGAGCUCGUAGGUGGUUUGUCGCGUUGUUCGUGAAAACUCACAGCUUAACUGUGGGCGUGCGGGCGAUACGGGCAGACUUGAGUACUGCAGGGGAGACUGGAAUUCCUGGUGUAGCGGUGGAAUGCGCAGAUAUCAGGAGGAACACCGGUGGCGAAGGCGGGUCUCUGGGCAGUAACUGACGCUGAGGAGCGAAAGCGUGGGGAGCGAACAGGAUUAGAUACCCUGGUAGUCCAA